UGUGACGUCAUAGAAGGACGUUACCUCCAAACAAAAUGGCAGCCAAAGCACCAGACUAUCAACCAGUGGUGAGGAGAGAUCACUCCACUGUACGGGUAGGAGACUACCUGUACAUGUGGGGUGGGAGGCAGUGGCCUGAUCUCCCUGAAGUACAUAAUAAUGAAAAGAAGAAAUCAAUGUGUUCUGUGAUGGAGGUGUGUCACCUAAGGACUGGUAGGUGGGAGCAGAAACCUACCACUGGUAACCCUCCACUGGGUGUAAUGAACUAUGCAGCCGCUGCCAUUGGAAGGGAAAUAUUUUAUUUUGGAGGCUAUUGUGGUCAUGAUGACUGUUGUCAUAAUAGUUUAUACAGUUUUAAUUAAUGUUAAUACCUUCAAUUGGAAGGAACUCUCUCCUACUACAUCUCAUCAUGGUCCUAUGAUGAAGUGGUACUGUGACAUGAUAGCAAUAAAAGUGAACGGUGAGGACUAUCUUGUAGUAAUUGGAGGAUUUGGACCAUCUUUUAAUAAUACCCCACCACAACCUGGUGCCCAGUACAGUGGUAAUAUACGACUAACGAGAUCCAUUUCUAUAAACUCUCAACAGGACAAUGGAUAUCACCGACUGUCACUGGAGACAGACCACCUCCUAUUGAACAAUUCACUUUAACAUCAAUUAAUAAUUCCAGUGCUAUAUUAUUUGGAGGUUGCACUGCUAAUGGACUCAGUAACAAUGUAUAUAUUCUUAAUUUUACUGAUACAUCAGUGAAUUGUUCAAAGUUAUCCACUCCUAGACGAUUAGUACAAUGGCCUAAGGAAAGAUGGGGUCAUUCCAGCGUAUUGAUUAACACUAGCUCAGGACCACACCUACUAGUGGUGGGUGGAUUUAUUACUUCUGAUAUUUGGAUAUUUAAUAUUAACAAUAAAUCAUGGAAGGAACUGAAAAAGGUACUAGACAUUGUCACUGAUAGAUGCCGUCAUUCUCUCUCAGUUUGGAGUGUGACUCCAACCACUAACUGGAUAAUUGUGUUUGGAGGAAGCACGUCAUACAAAGA